rnacentral:rRNA from 1 species
UACGUAGGGGGCAAGCGUUGUCCGGAAUCAUUGGGCGUAAAGCGCGCGUAGGCGGUCAGGAAAGUCCGGUGUGAAAGUCAUAGGCUCAACCUAUGGAUGCCGCUGGAAACUGCCUGACUUGAGUCCGGAAGGGGCGAGUGGAAUUCCUGGUGUAGCGGUGAAAUGCGCAGAUAUCAGGAGGAACACCAAUGGCGAAGGCAGCUCGCUGGAACGGUACUGACGCUGAGGCGCGAAAGCGUGGGGAGCGAACAGG